AAGUUUUAGUCUACCCCUCUGAUUUCUUAAACGGCCCCUAUAAUGUUGACAACAUUGGCGCUUAUCUCAUAGUUCUGGACCUACAGGUAAAAUUCUCCCCAAAACAGACAGUGGGAAUUUUAGGUUUGUUUUUUAUACUUUCAACACAUUUUGCAACGCCCACUUUUAGCUCCAAAAUGUGGGAGGGGCUGCAUCUUCCUGCUGAAGACUGGAGGCCAUUUCACAUUGCGUAGUUGUGGCAACCCAAACUAAAGAAGCAUACAUACAUUUCCAAAGAUUGGGACUAUGAGGAAAGUAUGAACCUCUCCUGUCAAAUUGACUAAGGCAAAAUGGGGCAGACCAAGCAAGAGUGUCAUUUGCAUCCAUCGUCAGACUUUAGAUGGCAAAAUGGUCCAGAAAAUCAGGAGCACUCUCAAUGGGAGUAGAAAUUGAGUCAGAACCUGCAAAAUAAAACAGAAUAAAGAACAUACACUUUGCUCAAAAAUUAGAGAUAAAGAAGGUAA